rnacentral:rRNA from 1 species
UGGGGAAUAUUGGACAAUGGGCGAAAGCCUGAUCCAGCCAUGCCGCGUGUGUGAAGAAGGCCUUAUGGUUGUAAAGCACUUUAAGUUGGGAGGAAGGGCAGUAAGCGAAUACCUUGCUGUUUUGACGUUACCGACAGAAUAAGCACCGGCUAACUCUGUGCCAGCAGCCGCGGUAAUACAGAGGGUGCGAGCGUUAAUCGGAUUUACUGGGCGUAAAGCGUGCGUAGGCGGCUAAUUGAGUCGGAUGUGAAAUCCCCGAGCUUAACUUGGGAAUUGCAUUCGAUACUGGUUAGCUAGAGUGUGGGAGAGGAUGGUAGAAUUCCAGGUGUAGCGGUGAAAUGCGUAGAGAUCUGGAGGAAUACCGAUGGCGAAGGCAGCCAUCUGGCCUAACACUGACGCUGAGGUACGAAAGCAUGGGGAGCAAACAGG